UACGGAGGGUGCGAGCGUUGUUCGGAAUCAUUGGGCGUAAAGCGCGUGUAGGCGGCCCGGUAAGUCCGCUGUGAAAGUCGGGGGCUCAACCCUCGGAUGCCGGUGGAUACUGUCGGGCUCGAGUACGGAAGAGGCGAGUGGAAUUCCUGGUGUAGCGGUGAAAUGCGCAGAUAUCAGGAGGAACACCAACGGCGAAGGCAGCUCGCUGGGACGGUACUGACGCUGAGACGCGAAAGCGUGGGGAGCGAACAGG
rnacentral:rRNA from 1 species